CGCGACGGCGGUCCAAGUUCCUUGGAAUCGGACGUCGAAGAGGGUGAGAAUCCCGUAUUUGGCCGAUCGUCAAGCCCACUGCGAAGCCCUUUCGACGAGUCGAGUUGUUUGGGAAUGCAGCUCCAAGCGGGUGGUAAAUUUCAUCUAAAGCUAAAUACCUGCCAGAGACCGAUAGCGCACAAGUAGAGUGAUCGAAAGAUGAAAAGCACUUUGAAAAGAGAGUCAAACAGCACGUGAAAUUGUUGAAGGGGAAGCGCUUGCAACCAGACUCGCACGCGGGGGCUCAGCCGUUCCUCGGGACGGUGCACUCCCCCGCGAUCGGGCCAGCGUCGGUUUCGGCGGCCGGACAAAGGCCCGGGGAACGUGGCUCCCUCGCGGGAGUGUUACAGCCCCGGGUGCAAUGCGGCCCGCCGGGACCGAGGACCGCGCAUUUUUUUGCUAGGACGCUGGCGUAAUGGUUGCCAGCGACCCGUCUUGAAACACGGACCAAGGAGUCGACCGGCGACGCGAGUGUUCGGGCGUCAAACCCGGGCGCGCAAUGAAAGUGAACGGAGGUGGGAGCCCCCUCACGGGGGCGCACCAUCGACCGAUCCUGAUGUCUUCGGAUGGAUUUGAGUACGAGCGCCGCCGGUCGGACCCGAAAGAUGGUGAGCUAUACGUGGAUAGGGUGAAGCCAGAGGAAACUCUGGUGGAGGCUCGCAGCGGUUCUGACGUGCAAAUCGAUCGUCAAAUCUGCGUAUAGGGGCGAAAGACUAAUCGAACCAUCUAGUAGCUGGUUCCUGUCGAAGUUUCCCUCAGGAUAGCAGCAACGAAGAAACAGUCUCAUGAGGUAGAGCGAACGAUUAGAGGCCUUGGGGCGGAAACCGCCUUAACCUAUUCUCGAACUUCGAAUAUGUGAGAAGUCCCUGUUACUUGAUUGAACGGGGACACUUGGAUGUGUCGUUGCUAGUGG
rnacentral:rRNA from 1 species